rnacentral:rRNA from 1 species
UACGUAGGGUGCAAGCGUUGUUCGGAAUUACUGGGCGUAAAGGGCUCGUAGGUGGCCAACUAAGUCAGACGUGAAAUCCCUCGGCUUAACCGGGGAACUGCGUCUGAUACUGGAUGGCUUGAGUUCGGGAGAGGGAUGCGGAAUUCCAGGUGUAGCGGUGAAAUGCGUAGAUAUCUGGAGGAACACCGGUGGCGAAGGCGGCAUCCUGGACCGAUACUGACGCUGAGGAGCGAAAGCCAGGGGAGCAAACGGG